UUAUGACCUGGGCUACACACGUGCUACAAUGGCGGUACAAAGGGUCGCGAACCCGCGAGGGGGAGCCAAUCCCAAAAAGCCGCUCUCAGUUCGGAUUGCAGGCUGCAACUCGCCUGCAUGAAGCCGGAAUCGCUAGUAAUCGCGGAUCAGCAUGCCGCGGUGAAUACGUUCCCGGGCCUU
rnacentral:rRNA from 1 species